GAUGCAAAUACAGCAGAUCACUCAAGGGAUGCUGAAACAUUAUUUGGUAUUCAAACAACUCUGGAAAAGUAUGAACAUCCAAUUUUGAAAAUGAACUAACGAAUACUGAUUAUAAUGAAUUUAUGCAAAUUACAUAUUGCAAUACAGCAGACAAUGAAAGCCAUGGUGAGACAUGAAUUCGCGAUUCUAUCAGUUUGGAAAAUAUAAACAUCCUAUGUUGAAAAUGGACUAGAAGAUACUGAUAAUAAUAAUUGUUUUAUUCAACAUGCAAAUACAGCAGAUCACUCAAGGGAUGCUGAAACAUUAUUUGGUAUUCAAACAACUCUGGAAAAGUAUGAACAUCCAAUUUUGAAAAUGAACUAACGAAUACUGAUUAUAAAGAAUUUAUGCAAUAUGCAAAUACAGCAGAUCACUCAAGGGAUGCUGAAACAUUUUUUGGUAUUCAAACAACUCUGGAAAAAUGCAAAUACAGCAGAUCACUCAAGGGAUGCUGAAACAUUAUUUGGUAUUCAAACAACUCUGGAAAAGUAUGAACAUCCAAUUUUGAAAAUGAACUAACGAAUACUGAUUAUAAUGAAUUUAUGCAAAUUACAUAUUGCAAUACAGCAGACAAUGAAAGCCAUGGUGAGACAUGAAUUCGCGAUUCUAUCAGUUUGGAAAAUAUAAACAUCCUAUGUUGAAAAUGGACUAGAAGAUACUGAUAAUAAUAAUUGUUUUAUUCAACAUGCAAAUACAGCAGAUCACUCAAGGGAUGCUGAAACAUUAUUUGGUAUUCAAACAACUCUGGAAAAGUAUGAACAUCCAAUUUUGAAAAUGAACUAACGAAUACUGAUUAUAAAGAAGUUAUGCAAUGUACGUGUAAUGGUUAUUAGAUGCAAAUUCAGCAGAUCACUCAAGGGAUGCUGAAACAUUAUUUGGUAUUCAAACAACUCUGGAAAAGUAUGAACAUCCAAUUUUGAAAAUGAACUAACGGAUACUGAUUAUAAAGAAUUAAUGCAAUAUGCAAAUACAGCAGAUCACUCAAGGGAUGCUGAAACAUUAUUUGGUAUUCAAACAACUCUGGAAAAGUAUGAACAUCCAAUUUUGAAAAUGAACUAAAAGAUACUGAUUAUAAAGAAUUUAUGCAAUGUACGUGUAAUGGUUAUUAGGUAUAGUUGAUAGAAAAUUAAUAGCAAUGUAACUAAAAGUUACUCAAAUGCUUCCC